GAAAGUAAAAAAGGGCGCAUGGCGGAUGCCUUGGCUCUCGGAGGCGAUGAAGGACGUGAUAAGCUGCGAUAAGCUUUGGGGAGGUGCAAAUGACCUUUGAUCCAGAGAUUUCCGAAUGGGACAACCCAAUAUCUUGAAGAGGUAUUAUCCAACGUUGUUGGAGGCUAACGCAGGGAACUGAAACAUCUUAGUACCUGCAGGAAAAGAAAAUAAACAAUGAUUCCCCCAGUAGUGGCGAGCGAACGGGGAACAGCCCAAACCAUCCAUGUUACGGCAUGGGUGGGGUUGUAGGACUACGCCGUUGCAUGAAGACAUCAGAGAAGAACUUUCUGGAAAGAAAGACCAUAGAGCAUGACAGUUGCGUAUUCGAAUGUUGUCGAAGCAUAGUAGUAUCCUGAGUAGCGCGGAGCACGAGGAAUUCUGCGUGAAUCUGCCGGGACCAUCCGGUAAGGCUAAAUACUCCCGAGAGACCGAUAGCGAACCAGUACUGUGAAGGAAAGGUGAAAAGCACUUCGAACAGAAGAGUGAAAUAGUUCCUGAAACCGUGCGCCUACAAGCGGUCGGAGCUCGUUAAUGAGUGACGGCGUGCCUUUUGCAUAAUGAACCUACGAGUUGCCUUUGCCGGCAAGGUUAAGUGUGACGACACACGUAUCCGAAGCGAAAGCGAGUCUGAACAGGGCGUAUAGUCGGCAGUGGCAGACGCGAAACCAAGUGAUCUACCCUUGGCCAGGUUGAAGGCUGGGUAACACCAGCUGGAGGACCGCACCAAUAAGCGUUGAAAAGCUUCUGGAUGAGCUGAGGGUAGGGGUGAAAGGCUAAUCAAACUUGGAGAUAGCUCGUACUCCCCGAAAUGCAUUUAGGUGCAGCCUUGCGGGUUACUGAUGUGAGGUAGAGCGACUGAUAAGAUGCGAGGGCUUCACCGCCUAUCAAGUCUUGACAAACUCCGAAUGCGUGUCAGUUCUAUGUCAGGAGUGAGGGCAUGGGUGCUAAGGUCCAUGUCCUAAAGGAGAAGAAUCCAGACCAUCAGCUAAGGUCCCCAAAUAAACACUAAGUUGAACUAACGAAGUCAGAUUGCUAAGACAGCUAGGAUGUUGGCUUGGAAGCAGCCAUUCAUUUAAAGAGUGCGUAACAGCUCACUAGUCGAGGAGUCGGGCGUGGAUAAUAAUCGGGUAUCAAGUUGUCUACCGAAGCAGUGGGAUCAUUAAUAUGAUCGGUAGGGGAGCAUUCCACUCAGCGUUGAAGGCGAAGCGUGAGCUUUACUGGAGCGUGUGGAAAAGCAAAUGUAGGUAUAAGUAACGAUAAAGGGGGCGGGAAACCCCCUCGCCGAAAGACUAAGGUUUCCUGAUCAACGCUAAUCGGAUCAGGGUUAGUCGGGUCCUAAGGCUCAGCCGAACGGCGAUGCCGAUGGCAGAAACGGUUAAUAUUCCGUUACUACCUUCAGGAGUGACGUGGAGACGCAGUAGUGACAGUGCCGCCAUCUGACGGAAUAGAUGGUUGAAGGGUGUAGGAGUCGAUCAUGGCAGGCAAAUCCACCAUGAGAAUCGAACCUGAUAGUAUGCCGCGUCCCUCGGGACAAGGCAAUAGUGCAUGUAAUCAUGCUGCCAAGAAAAUCCGCUAAACAAAAUCCUGUAGGUACCCGUACCGUAAACGGACACACGUAGUCGGGAUGAAUAUUCUAAGGCGCUUGAGUGAUUCACGGUUAAGGAACUAGGCAAACUGACCCUGUAACUUCGGGAUAAAGGGUCCCUACCCUUUUAUGGGAGGGCGCAGAGAAUCGGUCCAGGCAACUGUUUAACAAAAACACAGGGCUGUGCCAAAUCGAAAGAUCCAGUAUACAGCCUGACACCUGCCCGGUGCUGGAAGGUUAAGAGGAGAUGUCAUCGAUAAGAGAAGCGUUGAAUUGAAGCCCCAGUAAACGGCGGCCGUAACUAUAACGGUCCUAAGGUAGCGAAAUUCCUUGUCGGGUAAGUUCCGACCUGCACGAAUGGUGUAAUGAUCUGGACGCUGUCUCAACCGUGAGCUCAGUGAAAUUGUAGUAUCGGUGAAGAUGCCGAUUACCCGCGAUGGGACGAAAAGACCCCGUGAACCUUUACUAUAGCUUAUCAUUGAAUCUGGGCACGUGAUGUGUAGGAUAGGUCGGAGGCUUUGAAGCAGGUACGCCAGUAUUUGUGGAGCCGCUGUUGAAAUACGACCCUUUAUUUGUUUGGAUUCUAACCCGUGGAACGGGGACAUUGAUUGGUGGGUAGUUUGACUGGGGUGGUCGCCUCCAAAAGCGUAACGGAGGCUUCUAAAGGUGCCCUCCGGCCGAUUGGUAACCGGCCUUAGAGUGUAAUGGCAUAAGGGCGCUUGACUGGGAGACUGACAAGUCGAUCAGGUAGGAAACUAGAGCAUAGUGAUCCGGUGUUUCCGUAUGGAAGGGACAUCGCUCAAAGGAUAAAAGGUACUCCGGGGAUAACAGGCUGAUCCCUCCCAAGAGCUCAUAUCGACGGAGGGGUUUGGCACCUCGAUGUCGGCUCGUCGCAUCCUGGGGCUGGAG
rnacentral:rRNA from 1 species